rnacentral:rRNA from 1 species
AUUGAACGCUGGCGGCAGGCCUAACACAUGCAAGUCGAGCGGAGCGGCGGACGGGUGAGUAAUGCCUAGGAAUCUGCCUGGUAGUGGGGGCUACCGUCCGGAAACGGGCGCUAAUACCGCAUACUAUCAGAUGAGCCUAGGUCGGAUUAGCUAGUUGGUGGGGUAACGGCCUACCAAGGCGACGAUCCGUAACUGGCCUGAGAGGAUGAUCAGUCACACUGGAACUGAGACACGGCCAAGAAUCCUACGGGAGGCAGCAGUGGGGAAUAUUGGACAAUGGGCGAAAGCCUGAUCCAGCCAGGCCGCGGGUGAGAAGAAGGUCUUCGGAUCGCAAAGCACAUUAAGCUGGGAGGCGUUACCAACAGAAUAAGCACCGGCUAACUACGUGCCAGCAGCCGCGGUAAUUC